AAUAAAAAUAUGAAGGAUGAUGACCUCUCCAUGAAACAAAAUGGAAAUGAUCUAUCACAAAUAAAUCUCAGCCAACAUGCUAAUGGGCCUCUCGAGCAGAUACAAGAGACGGGGUAAAGUAAAUUAUAUUAUUAGUGACUCAAAAAGUGGAUUAAAACACUGUGCGGGAAACAGAGUGACUGAUUAAUAUGUAGUUUACAUGUUAACUCAAAAAGUCAGAAUGAAAUAAGAAGUCAGAAUGAAAGCAAGACUUUUAAAACAGGUCAGACAACUAAACUAAUGCUUCACCCUAUGACUGUUUUUAAUGAGAGUAAUUUCUAAGAGAAACUUGUCUUUACAUGUAUAUAUGGAGUAAUUAUUUCCCCUCAGUACAUUUAUAAAAUGAAGCUAUCAUGAAACACCCCUAAAUUAAAUAAAAUGACUUUAGUUUUGGGCAUGUGAAUUUUUGGCAUCACUUCGAGGUGAAAUGGAUUUAUGAUCUCUCUCCUGCCUGCUAAAGGUACAACUAUGCAAUGACCCUACAACUGCUGGGCUUGGAUGACGGCACUGAGCCCAGUGAUAGGAAUCCUGUCCUGAUGAGAGGUGCCUACUUGUCUUUUCUGUAUCUGCGCCAUCUUCGAAUCAGAGAACUGCAGGUAUGUGGAUGGCAGGCAUCAGAAAUGUCUGCUUGUCUAGAAAAGAGGAUUUUCUGCUAUUCCAAUAGCAAAUGCCAUUUUAUGCUUUUGCCCUUUGUUCCUUUUUUUUUUUUUUUUUUUUUUUUUUUUUGUGUUCCUUUCUCCACAGUAGGGUUGAUCUGCCAUCAAGUUGUAUUCUGUAGGGUGAACUAGGCAAAGGGCAGGGAGCUGACUCUGUUCUUUCUUUGUUUCAGCGCAUCUGCUUAGGAAUUCUGAAUUAUUUCAGAUCUGUUGAGCGAACCCUGACAAUCAACACUUCGGGCCUUACCUUGGUUUCAGGGAAACUGGUCCCCACCAUGGCAGAUAGUUCCUGGGUAAAUAUGGCAAAAGGAGGUCUGGGCACCUCGCAGGGCCUGGGCGCUCACCACUAUGUCCAUGAGACGCCUGCUGAGCACAAGGUCCACGGCAUCCAAUUCAUGGAGUUCUCGGAAGUGGAGAACCAGGAUGACUACUACAGCACGGAAGCUGGCUGUAUCCACACCCAGGACCAGCAAGGGGUGCAUGUCAUGUAUGAGGAAGCCUUGAGUGAUCUCAAGGAACUAGAGGCAGAGUUGCUGCUUGUGGCUAGCCAUUACGUUGAGAAAGAAAGGGGUCACAAAGUGGGCAGCCAGCCAAAGAGUGGCCAGGACUGGGGAUGGGCCCAUGCAGGUGUGGACAGAUUUGCUGUGCUCUAUGACAUAUGGACUUGGGAAGCAGCUCUUCUGGAAAACAAGCGCCAGCUUCUUGACAAUUACUUUGAAGCCUACCAGCACACGUUGGACCCUGAGGAGAGGUUUGCCUUAGCACAAGUGAUGACGGACAUCGUGCACCGGCGCCCGAGGUUUGAUCUCAGCCACCCCUAUUUCGUUAAGGCCUACCGAGAGGAAUGCACCUGCCUGAGGCUUCACCUGCAGUUAGUGAGGGGCAUCCUCACCCAGCAGAUAGAACGUCAGCGGGAGUAUGUCCAGAGGAUUUGGCGAGAGGAUCAUCUGGACAAUAGCAAUACAUUUGGACUUCCCCUUAAUAUAGUUUGCAAACAACUUAUUUCCAUCAACAAUAGCUGCCCGGCUUCAAAAAAUAUUUAUCUGCUGGAGUUCCACCCUUCCCUCAGCCUGGUAGCGCUUAUCCCCAAAGCCCUAGAGCAUCUCUUCCAAGAGGCCUGCCGUGCCUACAGACCCACAUCAGCCAGUGGCCUCGCCUCCCUGGAGCGACAUGUCCUGCAGCUGGCCCUGGGCCUGUGGCUCACCCCAGCCACGCCUGAGGCCUGCUACAGUGCACAGCUCCAGAAAGAUCUGUUUUCAGCUAAAGUUAUGGGAGAUCCCUUUCUCGUGGGGGAGAUAGGCCUGCUGGCAUUCAAGUCUGCAGCAGACGAAGGACAGAAACAAGGCCAAGACUCUCAUGUGCUACUCUUGGAGAUGUUUUCCAAACUUCUGGAACUCUUGACCCUCCGCCACCGGCUGAUAGAAAUGAGCCUGGAGAGUGCACACUUAGCUCGGCUCUAUAAAGAAUUGGCAUGGGAGAUGGGUUUUGAAGAGUUCCAUCUGUAUCUGAGGCCUGUCCACUUUGAAUUUGCAUCACACAGGGACAGGGCAGACCAGCGACCUCCUGUCUUUAUAACCUCUCUGCUGGAGGACAGUGGUCGGGUAGACAGAUAUUCUCCUACUGCUCUUGUCUUAGCCAUCUCUGAGGUGGAUGAUAACCAAAUUGGCAAAUUUAGUUUUUACACAAAGGAAGCCAUUCUUAAGCUCUUGUUGCAUUCAGGAGUGGAAAAUAUGCAGGUGACUCUUGCUUGCCAAGCUGCUCAGAAAAAUGCUUUGAUGGUGGCUGUCCAGCAGGUGUACUUCUAUCACACCCCGCAAGGGAGCUGUCCUGCUAAUGUCGAGGAAAUAAGUUCAAAUCUGAGAACUCAUGGUGGAAUGGGCCCAACCAGAAGAAGACAGUCCAGAAUUGUGAAUGGCGUAGACGGCUCACUGAUAGCCCCAACUCCAAAAGUCCCAGCUGCUCUUACUCAUUCUCCAGAAAGAUUUCAGGCUACCAAAAGAUACUGUACCUGGUGA
rnacentral:lncRNA from 1 species